GCCUAGUUAGCUUAGUUGGUAUUGCGACUGCCUUGUAAGCGCUAGGCCGUGGGUUCGAUUCCCGCCCGGGGCG
rnacentral:tRNA from 1 species